AGAGUUUGAUCCUGGCUCAGGACGAACGCUGGCGGCACGCUUAACACAUGCAAGUCGAACGAGAGAAGAGGAGCUUGCUUUUCUGAUCUAGUGGCGGACGGGUGAGUAACACGUGAGCAAUCUGCCUUUCAGAGGGGGAUACCGAUUGGAAACGAUCGUUAAUACCGCAUAACAUAAUUGAACCGCAUGAUUUGAUUAUCAAAGAUUUAUCGCUGAAAGAUGAGCUCGCGUCUGAUUAGCUAGUUGGUAAGGUAACGGCUUACCAAGGCGACGAUCAGUAGCCGGACUGAGGGGUUGAUCGGCCACAUUGGGACUGAGACACGGCCCAGACUCCUACGGGAGGCAGCAGUGGGGAAUAUUGCACAAUGGAGGAAACUCUGAUGCAGCGAUGCCGCGUGAGGGAAGAAGGUUUUAGGAUUGUAAACCUCUGUCUUCAGGGACGAAAAAAGACGGUACCUGAGGAGGAAGCUCCGGCUAACUACGUGCCAGCAGCCGCGGUAAUACGUAGGGAGCGAACGUUGUCCGGAAUUACUGGGUGUAAAGGGAGCGUAGGCGGGAUCGCAAGUCAGAUGUGAAAACUAUGGGCUUAACCCAUAAACUGCAUUUGAAACUGUGGUUCUUGAGUGAAGUAGAGGUAAGCGGAAUUCCUAGUGUAGCGGUGAAAUGCGUAGAUAUUAGGAGGAACAUCAGUGGCGAAGGCGGCUUACUGGGCUUUAACUGACGCUGAGGCUCGAAAGCGUGGGGAGCAAACAGGAUUAGAUACCCUGGUAGUCCACGCCGUAAACGAUGAUUACUAGGUGUGGGGGGACUGACCCCUUCCGUGCCGCAGCAAACGCAAUAAGUAAUCCACCUGGGGAGUACGACCGCAAGGUUGAAACUCAAAGGAAUUGACGGGGGCCCGCACAAGCAGUGGAGUAUGUGGAUUAAUUCGAAGCAACGCGAAGAACCUUACCAGGUCUUGACAUCGUAUGCAUAGCUCAGAGAUGAGUGAAAUCUCUUCGGAGACAUAUAGACAGGUGGUGCAUGGUUGUCGUCAGCUCGUGUCGUGAGAUGUUGGGUUAAGUCCCGCAACGAGCGCAACCCUUACUGUUAGUUGCUACGCAAGAGCACUCUAGCAGGACUGCCGUUGACAAAACGGAGGAAGGUGGGGAUGACGUCAAAUCAUCAUGCCCCUUAUGACCUGGGCCUCACACGUACUACAAUGGCUGUCAACAGAGGGAAGCAAAGCCGCGAGGUGGAGCGAACCCCUAAAAGCAGUCUUAGUUCGGAUUGUAGGCUGCAACCCGCCUACAUGAAGUCGGAAUUGCUAGUAAUCGCAGAUCAGCAUGCUGCGGUGAGUACGUUCCCGGGCCUUGUACACACCGCCCGUCACGCCAUGGGAGUCGGUAACACCCGAAGCCUGUAGUCUAACCGCAAGGAGGACGCAGUCGAAGGUGGGAUUGAUGACUGGGGUGAAGUCGUAACAAGGUA
rnacentral:rRNA from 1 species